UACGUAGGUGACCAGCGUUGUCCGGAUUUACUGGGCGUAAAGAGCGCGCAGGCGGUCGUUCAAGUCGAGUGUGAAAGCCCCCGGCUCAACUGGGGAGGGUCACUCGAUACUGAUCGACUUGAAGGCAGGAGAGGGAAGCGGAAUUCCCGGUGUAGUGGUGAAAUGCGUAGAUAUCGGGAGGAACAUCAGUGGCGAAGGCGGCUACCUGGCCCAAUACUGACACUCAGGUGCGACAGCGUGGGGAGCAAACAGG
rnacentral:rRNA from 1 species